UUAACACAUGCAAGUCGAACGCGAAAGGGGCUUCGGCCCCGAGUAGAGUGGCGCACGGGUGAGUAACGCGUGGAUGAUCUGCCCCUGCAGCUGGAAUAGCGACUGGAAACGGUCGAUAAUACCGGAUACGCCCUUGUCUUACAAUGAGGGGAAAGGAGACCUCUGCUUGCAAGUUUCCGUGCAGGGAUGAGUCCGCGUCCCAUUAGCUUGUUGGCGGGGUAACGGCCCACCAAGGCGACGAUGGGUAGCCGAUUUGAGAGGAUGAUCGGCCACAUUGGAACUGAAACACGGUCCAAACUCCUACGGGAGGCAGCAGUGGGGAAUAUUGCGCAAUGGGCGAAAGCCUGACGCAGCGACGCCGCGUGAGGGAUGAAGGUCUUCGGAUCGUAAACCUCUGUCGGAAGGGAAAAAGGUGCAGGGUGCCAAUCAGCCCUGCAUUGAUGGUACCUUCAGAGGAAGCACCGGCUAACUCCGUGCCAGCAGCCGCGGUAAUACGGAGGGUGCAAGCGUUAAUCGGAAUUACUGGGCGUAAAGCGCACGUAGGUUGUCCUGUAAGUCAGGGGUGAAAGCCCGCGGCUCAACUGCGGAACUGCCCUUGAUACUGCAGGACUCGGAUCCGGGAGAGGUCAGCGGAAUUCCAGGUGUAGGAGUGAAAUCCGUAGAUAUCUGGAGGAACAUCAGUGGCGAAGGCGGCUGACUGGACCGGCAUUGACGCUGAGGUGCGAAAGCGUGGGUAGCAAACAGGAUUAGAUACCCUGGUAGUCCACGCUGUAAACGAUGGAUGCUAGGUGUCGGGGCGCAAGCUCCGGUGCCGCAGCUAACGCAUUAAGCAUCCCGCCUGGGGAGUACGGUCGCAAGGCUGAAACUCAAAGAAAUUGACGGGGGCCCGCACAAGCGGUGGAUAUGUGGUUUAAUUCGAUGCACGCGAAAAACUUACCCAGGUUUGACAUCCGGAAAACCCCUGCAA
rnacentral:rRNA from 1 species